AAUGAACGCUGGCGGCGUGCGUAACACAUGCAAGUCGAACGAGAAAUUCCGGGCUUGCUCGGGAGAGUAAAGUGGCGAACGGGUGAGUAACGCGUGGGUAACCUGCCCCUGAAUCUGGAAUAACUUCGCGAAAGCGAGGCUAAUACCGGAUAUUGUCCCAGGGACCUCGGUCCUUGUGAUGAAAGAUGACCUCUUCACGAAAGUUGUCGUUCAGGGAGGGGCCCGCGUACCAUUAGCUAGUUGGUAGGGUAAUGGCCUACCAAGGCGAAGAUGGUUAGCUGGUCUGAGAGGAUGACCAGCCACACUGGCACUGAAACACGGGCCAGACUCCUACGGGAGGCAGCAGUGAGGAAUUUUGCGCAAUAGGGGAAACCCUGACGCAGCAACGCCGCGUGAGUGAAGAAGGCCCUCGGGUCGUAAAGCUCUGUCAAGUGGGAAAAAAGCUUACUGGUAAAUAGCCAGCAAGACUGAUGGUACCAUUGAAGGAAGCACCGGCUAACUCCGUGC
rnacentral:rRNA from 1 species